UAAGCGUGCGCAGGCGGUUAUGUAAGACAGAUGUGAAAUCCCCGGGCUCAACCUGGGAACUGCAUUUGUGACUGCAUGGCUAGAGUACGGUAGAGGGGGAUGGAAUUCCGCGUGUAGCAGUGAAAUGCGUAGAUAUGCGGAGGAACACCGAUGGCGAAGGCAAUCCCCUGGACCUGUACUGACGCUCAUGCACGAAAGCGUGGGGAGCAAACAGGAUUAGAUACCCUAGU
rnacentral:rRNA from 1 species